AAACAAUCACACCCUAGGCCAACCCCAACCUCUCUCACCACCAAAGGAACACAAGUGAACAACACAAGCAACGCUGACACCAAACUCUACAUACAUUAAACAUAAUAGAAACACCGCCACCCGACCCCACCCCUACCCAUCUUCCCUCUCUCCACCCCCCCUUUCUUUUUUCUUUUUCUUUUUUUCCUUCUCCCCCUAAUGCCUCAACAAAUGAAAUGGAUUUGUAAAAAUGUUAC